AUAACAAACGGUGGGGAAAACGCACCUAUUUUCAGAAUGGUGCUUAAUUAAUAGCUUGUGAUAGAGUGCGACUGGACUUGAUCCUUCCAGUCCCUUUCUUAGGAAAACAAGGGGCUUAUCUCUUUUUUAUUAAUGCAUAGGAAUUUUUCACAGAGGUGAGAGUGAACCAGAACAUUUGCUGCAAACUUUCUUGAGCCUUGGAAAGCUUGGAUUCUGAUUCACACUCCCCAGCUGGAGCUCAGUUGGAGACAUAGGUUACGUUUAUACAUAUGCAGAGGAAGUAGAGCAAUUCUGUCAACUCAGAAGAAAGGAAUGAAGUUGAGUGAAGUUUUACAGCAUACGGUGCUGACACCUUCACAGUGUAACAGGACAAGCCAACACUUGAUGGAGUUCCUUUGUCCAAGGAGGUAUACAGGAGGUGACAUGAGAGUUUCCAGAAUGAAGAAAGAAAUUGGGCCAGACAUUCCAGAUCCUGAAGAAAUUGGUGCCUGUGGAGCUAUGGAUUUUUACCAGCAAAACAUCUGGCACAAUAUAAUGUUCAACAUGAGGAAUUUGCUUCUCUUUCCUCUUGUCAUUGGUGUGAGUCAAGAACAACUCCACUGAAGUUCACUUGAUAUAUC